GCUUCUGUGGCGCAAUUGGUUAGCGCGUUCGACUGUUAUCUUGUGCGACAUUGUGUCACCAAGCAGCAAUCGAGAGGUUGGCAGUUCAAGCCUGCCCAGGAGCG